GCACUGUGGAUAUUGCAGUUAAAAGCAGUAGUUGGGUGUGUCUGGAGAGUGAAGGAGGAAUGGUAGUCACUCAUGGUGAGGAGUGAGGUGAAGCGCUCUGAGGCAGAGGCCAGAGAGGACAUGCCUAGGAGUGAUGUCGUCGGGGAAAGAGGGCCAAGGCAGGAAGGCAGAGGAUCCUAGGCCCCUUGCUAAAGUAAAGGACCAACCAUACUUGCAUAUACUGUGAGAAAGCUGGGAGGAAUGACCUGGCAGGAACAAGUGAAGGAGAGCAGGAUUGUAAGAGGAGGACAGGCUACAAUAAUUAUGAAGAGAAAGCAGAAGGAUCAUGUUGGUUAAGCCACUGAAGUGCAUGCGGGCUGCAGAGGUGAUGGCGCCCUGUGGGUGUGCUUCUGAUAUUGUGAUUGAUGAAAUUGUUGUAUAGGUGAUGCUGCAGGUUAGGGGCAUACAUUCUGUGCAUAUGCUUGUUCACUCUGGUAAAUGAAUGUACUCCUUCAAUUUCAUUUACUAGAAGUGCAUGCGGGCUGCAGUGGUGAUGGCACCCCGUGGGUGUGCUCCUGAUAUUGUGAUUGAUGAAAUUGUUGUAUAGGUGAUGCUGCAGGUUGGGGGCAUACAUUCUGUGCAUAUGCUUGUUCACUCUGGUAAAUGAAUGUACUCCUUCAAUUUCAUUUACUAAUAAAAACACUUGUCUUCAAUUUCAUUUACUAAUAAAAACACUUGUUUUUUAAUUUAUAAUGUUGAUCAGCUGGACUGAAUUUCUUGACAGUAUUUGCCAUCAAUGAAAAGAAAGCAUCUAUUGUUUCUGGGGCAUAUUUCUUCUUUUCUACUAAAUAUCUCAAGUGUAGCAGAUGCACUGUUAUUUUCCUGUGUUUUUCUUUUAUGCGUGAGGCAUUCUUGCUGAGGGAGUGUAGGCCUAUCUUGUGCAACACCAACAGCUUCGUCGCUUAGUACUCUUUCUUGUGUCAUCGUGUUCUGAAUUAUCUGAAUCUCCUGCUUCAUUUUCAGCCUUUUGCUGAGAUGUAACUUGUGUUCUGCCCUUAAUAAAUGCAAACAAAAAGAACGUUUGAUCCUCAAACUGACAUUUCUGGCAGCCAACAGCAGCCUGCCCACUCUGUUUUCUUAUUUUUGUGUUUACGAUACUGCGAUCGCAGGCAUUCCCAGCGUUCCUUACACUUAUACCCUGAAAAUAAGAAGAAAAUGGAUUAGUUAUUCCCUCCAUUGUUUCA